rnacentral:rRNA from 1 species
AUGGGGGAGUAUAUGAGGAUCAAAGUACGCAUAGAUAUCACAAGUCCGUUGAUGAGGUUUUUCACACUCAUUAUUGAUGAAGAGGAAGAAUAUGACCAAGAAAGGGAGGAGAUGGAAGAGGAAGAGAGUGAUGCAGAGAAGAAGAAGAAAGAAAAGACGAAAUUUAUCUCUUUUAGAUAUGAACAUCUCCCCGAUUUCUGUUACAACUGUGGAAUCAUUGGUCACAAUGAAAGAGCAUGCCCAACAAAAGGUGUGAAAGCAGAAGGAAGACAAUUUGGGGCAUGGAUGCGUGCUGUAAUAUUUAAGGGCGGUUCUAGUGAAGAGGGGAGGAGCAAGAGCUCAAGCGAUCAUAGUAAUUUCUAG